rnacentral:tRNA from 1 species
UGGGAUGUAGCCAAGUGGUAAGGCAACGGGUUUUGGCUCCGUCAUCCGAAGGUUCGAGCCCUUCCAUCCCAGCCA